GAUGAAGAACGUAGCGAAAUGCGAUAAGUAGUGUGAAUUGCAGAAUUCAGUGAAUCAUCGAAUCUUUGAACGCACAUUGCGCUCCAUGGUAUUCCGUGGGGCAUGCCUGUUCGAGCGUCAUUUACCCCCUCAAGCUCCGCUUGGUGUUGGGCGUCUGUCCCGCUUCGCGCGCGGACUCGCCCCAAAGGUAUUGGCAGCGGUCGUGCCAGCUUCUCGCGCAGCACAUUGCGCUUCUCGAGGCACCGGUGGGCCCGCGUCCAUCAAGCUCACCCCCCCAGUUUGACCUCGGAUCAGGUAGGGAUACCCGCUGAACUUAAGCAUAUCAAUAAGCGGAGGA
rnacentral:misc_RNA from 1 species